AUUUGAUGUUACUUUUAUGUUUUAGCAUUAUGGAUUUUCUUUUCAAGUCUUGUUUUGUUUAUUAUAAAGCUUUUCAGAUUAAAAUUCUGAAAGGGUGUGAAAUAAAGAGGACUUCCUAUGUGAGGCUGCUGAUAGGAAAUGUGAGUUUAGCCAACCACAGUGCAACAUGACGUGCAGAACUCGCUCACACACUGUAUUAACAGCUGCAAGCAGCAGAUACCAGAGGGAUGUCAUUUUGAAUUCAGCAGAUGAAUGAAUUACAAUGGGUUUCAAUCAGUCUGAGGGUACUUCUCAUAGACUCAAUCUAACCAACUUUUCAUUAUUGGCCGUGUUGUCCAUCUUUUGUAGUUUUGUUUUUUUCCUGGUAUUCAGUAUCUGCUUGUUUUUUUUUUAUAUUCGGCAGAACAAAAAGCAAAAAUCACAACCGAACGGAGAGGAGGUAAAAUAUUUUCCUAUUUUACUACAUUAUCGCUCUAGCAAAUAAAAAGAACAGCAGUGCGUUGACAAAGAGAAAGACAUGCAGAUAGCUUGAUUAUUGAUUAUUCAUUGGUUAUGUUUUGAAAGGUCACAGAUGUGGAUGUUUCUUUAAAUGAGGUAUGAAUUUAGCAGAUUCACACUUCUCAGUUUUGCUGUCAAACCUCAAGCCUCUGUGUUUAUGCCAAAGGUCAUUCUAGCUCUGUCUUUAUUUUUAGGUCUCUGAAAAGAUGAAGAAAAGAGAAAAAAAUAAAAGUUACAAAGAGCGGGUAAACUCAGUGUACUAUGAGUGGUUUACAGAUCACCGACCACAGAGGAAACCAUCCACAUCAGAUUGUACAGUAUUGUACAGGAUUGUACUAGUCUAAAACAAGUAACUUUAAUCUUGUUUCAGUAAUAAGAAAUGUCUUAAUAACGCAUUAUAGUGAGUUCUCAGUGCAAAAACACCGUUUGUUUUCAUUGGUCACGAUAAGAGGGCCAUAAGAGGGCGCUGUUGCACCACAUCACCUAAAAAGGUGAGCUUCAUAAAUAACGAAUAUUAAAGGAAUAGUUACAAGUUAAAAAA